rnacentral:piRNA from 1 species
GCCAGGCUUGGUGCCAUACUGUG